AUUGAACGCUGGCGGCAGGCCUAACACAUGCAAGUCGAGCGGAUGAAGGGAGCUUGCUCCUGGAUUCAGCGGCGGACGGGUGAGUAAUGCCUAGGAAUCUGCCUGGUAGUGGGGGAUAACGUCCGGAAACGGGCGCUAAUACCGCAUACGUCCUGAGGGAGAAAGUGGGGGAUCUUCGGACCUCACGCUAUCAGAUGAGCCUAGGUCGGAUUAGCUAGUUGGUGGGGUAAAGGCCUACCAAGGCGACGAUCCGUAACUGGUCUGAGAGGAUGAUCAGUCACACGGGAAUGGAGACAGGGUCCGAACCCCAGGGGGGGGCAGCGGGGGGGAUUAUUGAAGAAGGGGCAAAGGCUGGACCGACCAAGGCGGGGGGUGGAAAGAGGGUUUUGGAAUUUAAAACCUUUUAAGGUGGGGAGAAGGGGAAGAAAUUUAAUCCCUUGUUGUUUGGAGUUACCAAAAAAAAAAGCACCGGGCAAACUUCGUC
rnacentral:rRNA from 1 species